rnacentral:tRNA from 1 species
GGGAAAGUGGAUCACUGGUAGAUCACUUGCUUUGCAUGCAUGAGGCCCUGGGUUCAAUUCCUCAGCACCA